AUGCCCAUGACUGGCUCUACUGCGAGAGAUUCCAUUUUAGACACUGCAACAGAGACUCUGGAGACUCUGCGAGAAGCCUCAACUCCACCUGAAACGUCUUCUGGAGUCACCAUGGGCAUGGCAAGCCCCACAUUCUCCAUGACUCCAGCAGAGCCCACAGCCAGCACAGGCUCCAGUGGUCCCUUAAAGAUCAGCCCAGCUGGGACAAUUUCUUCUACAUUUCCUGCAGACACACCUGUAUCAGAAACAUCCCUUAGGGAGAGUCCCAGCACCACCCUGACUCCAUGGCCCACUCCAAUUGCUUCUUUUCAUACUGCUGUCUCAGCUUCAGAAAUGGGAAUCAGCUCCAUUUUGCCCCUGUCCUCAACUCCUACAGCCAUCAGUGCUACAGAAACCAGGCCGAGCCCAGAGCUGCCUUUGAGAGAGACCACACCAGAGAAGCAGGAUGCUCAGACAGGAAUGGAGCCAGGCUCAGCUAACCUGUCCUCCACUGCCGUUCCCAGCAUCAUCCCAACAUCUGCUGGAGGAGACACAAGCACUUUGUUGGUGUCUACAGAAGGACCAGAAGGUCAAACUGUUUCCAGCACCUUCCCAGAGAACACAGACGCCUCUGCAAGCACUUACAGAGAACACAAGUACUCCCCAAGCACAGGAGUAACUCUCUGGCCUGACAGGGCUUCCCCGUCUUCUCUGCCAGCCUAACUGAAGGAACCAGCUACUCCAGGACUGUCCCCUCGACCUCUUUGGUGAGCAUGACAAGCAUUGGCAUAACUGGAGCUCAGACAAGCCCAGCUCUACCUCCUACCCCAGGGCCCACAGAGUCUACACCUCCCAAGGGGGGCACUCCCUCUGUCACACCAAUGACUGAAUUUAGAACCAAGCACCGUGAACAAUUACAGAGCAGUUUGGCCUCCAGCAGCCCCCCAGUGCAGGAGACCAGCAGACCAGGUAGCCCUACAGCAUCACAUACAAGUACACUCAGCCCAGGGAAGUUUCGUCCUGCUGAGAACACAGCUAACCUUGUGUCAAGUCCUGUGGGAGAGUCUAGCUCAGAGCCAGCUGCCUACACCACUCCUUCCCACACCCCAG
rnacentral:lncRNA from 1 species